rnacentral:sRNA from 1 species
AUUUCCCAUAUAUGAUGGUAUAAACCGCCAAUAACAAUUAAAUGUAUUUGUAAUAAUUGCAUUACUAUGGAAAAGAUUUAUUUGUUUGUUAAAAUGGAUAACCAGGUAAUAAUUAAAUAAAAUAUACUAAUAACAAAAGGCGAAAUAAAACUAUAUACCCACGCAAUAUAUAUAAACCAGUCUUUAAUAUAAAUGGUUUUGACGAGAUAAAUCUUGGUAAAUAUGCGCUGGUAAAGCGCGAUAAACGCCAGAAACCCAACGAUCCCGAAGACGAGGAAAUGCGCCAGCGCACUUUGUUUUGUCGGGUUUUCGAAAUCGGUGGUAUAAUUAUCGGGAGGUAGGACGAAGACGGUAACGCCGUUUAGCACCGGAAAACCAUUCGAAAAGUUUGCAAAUAUAAUUUAAAAUUUAAAUUGGUGUUAAUUUUGGAAAAAUAUGAGAUUUUGGGGGUUUCUUCGAAAAAAAAUGGCGUAUCGAGACAAAUAAACGAAAGCGGAAAUAUAAAUUAUAUGGUGGGAUUACCGUUGCCUAAUCCUUGCCAAAUAAUUUAAAAAGGCGUUGCAAUAUGGUGGUACGGUUUAAUUAUCGUUAAUAUAAUAUUUAGAAAAUUCGGCGAAUAAUAUUCUUUAUUUAACUCCUUUUCUCUUUUUAUAUAUGGUGUUAAACUUAUAAAAUUGUUAAGGUUUGUUACGACAAAUUCUUCCUAUAUAUAAAAACCUUUACAUUUGUACAAAAUAAAAUAUUCCAUUAUUUGCUACCGUAUAUUUAAUUGUCAGGAAAUCCCAUAUUUGACAUUUGCAUAAUAACCGUCGUAAUAUAUUCCACAUACGCACCCCCACACCCGCCCUUGUUUGUAAUAAAGGGAUUAACCCCCGAAUGUGACCGGAUUUAAAUUUGAUUUUUGCCGGGCUAUUAAUCCAUAUUAAUUCCAGUAAAUCCUGGCUAAUAACCCGUGGGUUAAAUAGGCAAUUUUGGGUAAUCGGGAGAAUUUGGUCGUAUGGAUUAAUAAGGAACCAAAUCCCCUGUUUAUAUAAAUCGCGAAAGGUGGUGUGCAAUUAUAAAAGGCGAACUUUUUGGCUUUUAAUUAACCAACGACCGUUUUGUUCGCCAUUUGUUCAAACCGUUCCGUUCCAUUUUGCACGAUAUUUAUCAGUUAUAUUACUAUCGGGCAUAUUUCGUUAUAUAUACCCAGAUUACGGUGCUGGCCGCAAAUGUUAUUACAUUGUUUAUUCCGGCGGUUUUACCGAUUUCUGUGGUCCUUUAUAAUAUUAUUUUAUUUGUGGCCAGCAAUUCCAUAUAAAUGUUAAAUUAUAUUAAAAGGAAGUUUUGUAUAUUACGCGAUAAUUUUUCAAAAUAUUGGUUUGAAAUUUACGCGCCCAUAGGUCAGUUAAUUAUCCGAUUGUUAGCAGUUUGCAGAUAUUAUAAAUGCUUUUGCGCGUUGUUUGUUCUAACCCAUUGGAUUUUUGAAAAAUCCCACAAACGACAAUUGCCCCCCUGGCUUUUAAAUUUGGCAUUACUGGCUAUUUUCAAAUCCAGACAUUCGGGCAAAUCCUUCCACAAAAUGCGGGCGAGGAUAAUCCGGUUUCGACCGAGUUAACUUUGUUCGACGGUAUUGCCUCGUUUAUAUAUCCAAAUGAUUUUGUUUUCGUGGAUAUGUUCGUUUACCCGUAUUACACCGCGGUGGUUAUUAACGACGAAACCAAGUUUAUUAAUAAAAAAGCCCAUAAUGGCGGUUAGGUGGUUGUAUUUGUUGCCAAGGUAGCUCCUAUUGUCGGUUAUUGCGACGAUAAUAACGCUGUAAACGUUUGGACAGGGGAAGACGUUACUAAGAAGAAGUACCAGGCGCUAUUUGACGAGUACGACAAAUAAUAAAAUUAAAUGGGGUUUUAAUAAUUGAGUGGUUUAAUAAUUAAUUCCUGGCUAGGUAAUACGCUAAUUGCUGGUAAGCUCUCCUAAUUAAAACCAUUUAUUCGGUAAUAACCGUAUUAUAUAUGCUUUUGUAAACUCUGGGUAGAAGACCUAUUCCGUAUAUUUCCAAUAGCGUGGUGGCACCCCCUGACGAAACCGUGUUAUAUAAUGUAAAUAAUUAUUAUUUACCUGUAUUUUUAUAUUUGUUUCUUUUUUUAAACCUAUCGCGUACCACCUGCCAUGGCCAGGGCUAGCACGGAAGGAAAUUUAUUAAUACUUAUCGAUAAAGAUUUAGACGAGGGUUAAAUAUUACAAAUAUUUACAUUUUUGGCCAAAUUGUACUAUGGGCGCCUGCUGGAAUGCUGAUAUUAAUUGGAAAGCCAGCAAUAAAUUUACAGUAAUAUUUUUGGAACAGGUAAUAAUGUACGAUUGCAGACGGGAUGGAUGGUGGUGGAAAAAAAGAUAUAAUUUUUCCCAAUAUUUUGCUGCAUAUUCCGCACCAGGCCCAUAUCCGGGAAAUAUUUGGUAUAUUACCAGCAUAUAUUAGUUUCCUGGAGUCCCACUAUAAUUUAACGCAAAAUAACAAUUUAAUUGCUAGGGCUGGUCUUAUAGCAACUACGGUGGGUCCUGAGAGUUAUAUUAUAAGUCGAAAGUUAUUGAGUUUCCCGGGGGGGGGGGGGCUGUAUAUAUUUAAAAUGCUGGCCAAAGUUGCAAAAGCAGCAAAAGCAGCCCUUUAAAGUAUUUGACGUACGUUUUUCCUCAGCUUUAACGUACAAAUAUUUACGGAAUUUGCAAGAUCCCAGUAAAGGUACCUGCGAAAAUAAGUCAAAUAAUGCAAUAUAUUUAUAAUAUCUUUAUAUAAUAAACCUAAAUAGGAAUAAAAAAUUACGGAAACAAAAUAUAAAAAACCCCACAUUUGUUUAUAACCUGUGGACCUUUUGUAGCCCCAAAUAAUUUUGCGUCGACGCAGAUGUCAGCCUAUUAUUUUGCAUACUUUUCCACCAAAUAUCAGGGAAUAUUUUCCUUAUUUCGAUCUGGUUCCCAAUAUAUUUGCCUGUAACAUUGGGAUUUUUAGAAAGGGUCGAGGUUAGCAAAAUGCAAAAUAAUAAUAGCACGUGUAAAUGUCGCAAAUUAAUCCACACCUUCCGGUUGCGUAUAUAAAUCGUAUAAUUAACGCGAAUAUAUUGUUUGGGUAAUAAAUUUCGCAUAUAUUAUAACAGGAAGGGUAUAUAUUUUGGGAACCUGGGACUUUGCGAUUAAUAGCAUCGGUUUUCCCCUGACGUUAACACCGUAUUGGCCAGCUCUUAAAAAUAGCGGGUAGGGUGGGGCAGCCCAAAAUGCGAUAGGCUGUCGGGACGACGAAGCCCCGACCCACGUAUUACCCCAGGAAAAUAUAGGGGUUUCCGCUGCCCAGGUUUGUAAUCCUGCCGAACAAAAGGGAUAUAACCACACCGGGAUUGAUAAAUUAAAUUGCAACGUCCAAAUUACUCGGAUAUAAUAUAUAUGGCAAAUUUCCAAAUAUGCUGUGCUAUAUAAAUUUCCUGGCCGUAUUUUAUAACCCAAAAAGAAAAAAAAUCAGACUUUAACCGCCCUGGACCGGAUCCAAAUAUUGUUAUUAGCAGGGGCAAACUUCGUAUUGUAAAAUCUAGAACUUUCAAACCGUUAUAAUAGUUGCCGGUGGGGCUAACUGCUAUUUGCAUCGCACAGUUUUAUUAUCCUAUUACGUCGUCCAGUGGAAGACAAUGGCGAAACUAUUUACAGUUCCGAAAUAAUAUAAUUAAUAAAUUGGGUAUAAUAAAAUUAUAGGUACAGCUGCUUCCCGAUAAUAGUCGCCACAAACGGUUUAUUUUAUAUCGCUACAAAAUGGUCGUAACCGAAAAAUCUCACUUGUUCGGCAACCACCGCCCUAGGGGUGCCUGGUGGAAUUGUUAAUGCAUUUCCUACGCAUUUUUAUUAUUAAUGUGCGUCGGGUGUAAUCCCAUUUUGUUUCUCCUACACGUCGAAAACAAUUUAUUUGCCGCCAUUUCCUUCCUUUUGGACCUCUUUCAGGAACGUUUAUGGGGCUUUAUAAAGCCCAUUUUGAAUACCGUUACAAACGAAAUAUUGAAAAGAACAACCGACCGUUUAAUAAAACAAUUAAUCCGCAAAUCCGACUCGUUUGCUAUUAUCGGUAAAACCCUGUUAAAAGUUAAAUCGGCUUUUAUCACCCUCGUUAAAGUCCUUAGUUAAACAGGUUUUCCGCUGUAUUUAGCACCCUUUUCCUCGGCCGCGCUGACCGGGGUCUUGGGAUUGGGGACGUUUUGCCUCUUUGCUCCAAUUGUACAAAAUGCCCAAAAGCUCAAAUUUUCGAGGGAUGACAGUGUGUAAAUAUUAUAUUUGACGGCAAUUGAAUUUCAAUUUGAUUGAUUUUUCUACAGUAAGGAUUUGGCGCCCAAAUCCAUGGAAGACGGAUGGCUUUAUAUAAAAUCCCUGCAAAAAUUCGAACAAACGUUAAUUUUAUGGAAAUUGUUUAUUUAUUUCGUGGUUGUUUUUGCUUGGUAUUUUUUGGGUGCAAAAAAAGCGGAUAUCGCGAUAUUCGCCAGGUUAGCACAUUAGAUCAGCUUUGCUAAUAACAAUUUUCAGAAAAUGUGCCAGAUUUAUUAAAAGUCCGCUCGCAUUAUAUAAGAGAUGUUAAUCCAAGGCGGUGUUUUUAUCUGUUUUGCUUUUAUAUGCGCGGAUAUUGCGAUUCGCGGGCGUUUGCGGGGAACAAAUAUCGAAACGCAGUAGGCCAGUAGUUAUUAUGCGAUGGGAGCGCCUCAGGCCAGUGCCAGCAAUUGAUGGGCAGAACAAAAUAUCAGCAAUCGAUAUAUAUAUGCACAAUAUCGUAUGUUUAUCGGAGCUGCCAAACAUUGGCAAUAUUAAUCCGUUUUAUACGCAGCUGUUGAACCUUUAAACCAGGGCUAGCAACGAGAUUUAGGUUUGUUUUAGCUGCUCUGUUGGGUAUAUAACCUAUCCACCCACUACACCCUUACGUCUCCACUUUUGCACGCCUUUAUCCACGAACCCUGUUUGCACCGUUGCUGGAGGUGGAGAUUGAAGGCGGAAAAUAUUAGCGUUUUCCAAACAACUGUAGGCUAGGAACAAGGCUAUAAAAGGAAAACCACCAUCCUUUCCAAAUAUAUGCAGCUCGAUCGUUUAUAAGGGUCCCAGUAAAUAUUUUAACCUUAUAUUACACUCUCCCUAACCGUCUUAUAAGUUUAUUUGGGUCAACGUGGGUAUAUAUCGUUAGAAAACCAGCUUUAGAAAACACCGUCCCUUUCCAUUCUGCAUCUUGUCGCUGAAAAGAUAUAUUAUUGUACAAUAUAGCGCAUAUCUAUCGACGUACCGCCCUUAUGAAAGUUUUUUCGUUAUUUAACUUAGUUAUUUUAAGGCAAUCUUUGUCCUGAAGCGACCGAAUCGCAUGUUUUUUGGUUGUAAUUCUUCCUUUCCAUUUAACGGCAUAUUUUGGCUAUUAUAUGCAUUUACCAAUAUAUAUAUUGGAUGGAUUUUCGCCCGUUUAUCUACUUUUUUCGCCUCCAAACAAUGUUUCCAUCCGGGAAACCACAAUUAACCAACAAUACCCCUUAUAAAUGGAUUACAGCUGCGGUUAUAAGAGGACCAUUGCUGCGGAAUGGUGUGACCGGUAUAAAAACAAAUUUCAGUCGCACAUUCGAUGUCGGCCAAAAAUACCAUAUUAUACCAAAAACGAUUAAAUCUGCUGUAAGUUGCCUAAUUAACGCCUGCUGGUUUUAGUAGGCCUUUGUGUUUUGCAACAAUUACUGGUAUAUGCGAGCCAUUUGAGCUGAUCUUAAUUUUAUAGCCCAUUGCUAUAAGCAUUUAAACCCAAGGUCUGUUCCAUGGAUGCCCUCGCGCGAGCAACAAAUAAGAAAGUGAAGCCUACCUCUCCCUUUCAGCAAGGGUAUAAUAAUACAAUAUAAUAAAAAUAAGGAGAUUUCGAUCAAUCAUAUAAUAUUAUGGGAUGCUUGUGCCAACAAGCGCCACAUCCCACCCUGGGUAAACAAGGCAACUAAGAUAAUUUUUGCAUCUGUAUGUCCUACGCUCGUGUUCAGUAUUCUGAAAAUACCGCUUUGCCCUGCUGUAUCCCGGGGUGGUCAGCUUCGAAUAUUGUACACCAUGAGUGUGUGAGGCCCGGAAAUGCGACUGUCUGAACUGAUCGUUCGCGGGCAUCAGGUAGCUGUUGUGGGCGACGCCAUCGAACAAGUACAGCUAUUUACCAUUCGUGGUUUCCCUUGGGCAGAUAAGGUAGUUUUGGUGGCCAAAGCAAAAGAUGACGAGCAGAAAAUACCAACGACAUCUGAUGAAUUUCAAACCUGGCAAUGCUUAAAACAAACUCGAGAAAAUUGCCCGUCGUGCCUAUUACCAAAUAAGCCAAAACAAAUUUAUAUCUCUAAUUGUUCCCUAAACAGUUUAUUAGUUAUUAAAUACGUAUCGGCGUUCAAGUUUUGCCUAAUAUUUGAGAUAUUACCAACUACCGAAAAAGGUGUAAAAAGCAAUGUGCGAAAAGAUGCAAAACCCCAAAAGAUUAUUGGAUUAGAAUAAGCGAUAACGAAAUUGCAACGAGCCCCAAGGCGCUCCUUGCCUCUAUCUUUUCGGCGUUGAUUAUUUGAUUGACCAAUGUAUGUUUAAUUACCCGCGUUCCGAAAUUUUCUUAAUAUAGGGCCGGGUUAGUGGGCAAAGGUAAGCGAAUAUCCCCAAAUAGGCACAAUUAUCCCGCUAGUUUCAGCAAUACGACCAUACCAGUAUGCGAAAAGAUCCGCCUGUGACCGCAGAUGCACCUAUUAGGAGGCCUCCGUAAUGAAUUAUACCUGUUAUAAGGAUUUAAAAUAGGGAAUUAUUAAUAAUAGAGGGAGUUGCAAUGUCUGGGCACCUUAUUUACAAAUUGCAGGGAUAUUUUUAAAGACCAGGGCUCGCCGCCGUAAUCUCCUACCCCCAACAGGCCACUGUUUGCGAAAUAUUUAAACCAUUUGGUUUUAAGCAGGGAGGUUUAAACAGGUAUAACGAAGAGUCGGUGGUGAAGUUAAUGCUGGCCGUCAGGGGUGCGUUUUGUAACGGGCUCGUUCCGAUUGGCUUUUAUUUUUACGGAGCCUUUAGGAUAAUUUCGGCGUAGCAUUCCGGCAUUUAACUGGGGUAUUUUUAAGUGGGUUUGUAUUUUACAAAAUUCCCUGCCCUAACCGUUUCCAAGUAUGUACAGGUAUUAUAAGUCUGGACGUAAUCGGGCGUUUUAAAAGGCCUUCCCGUAUUGCGCCCCAGCUCUUUUCCAAUCCUCUUCUGCCCCCUCCAGGCUAACUCCUUCGCGAUUUAGGAAGAUGUUACCUGCCCGGGUAAUUUGGAGCUCCGAGGCCCUAAGGUUCUUCCGAAUAACUUACAUUGGAGCUAAUAUUAUUAGCAGCCUCCUUUAAUAAGGCAGUUAUUUAAUUACGCCUUUUCCUAAUAUUACCAUUGCUGUUUAAUACGUAAUUGAAAUAUAUGGAAGCCGCACCUUAUCUUCUGAACCAAUACCUGCCGAUUUUGCAAAUCCCCAAUGCUGGAUCCAGCGCCUGGUUUUGGUCGGGUAAUUUCUGCAAAUGAGGAGUUUUCCAAAUAUAUCGACAAUGGCGCAUGGGAGUAUUGGAGGUUUGGACGAACAGCAAUGCAAAAGGUAAUUGAAAACGAUUAUUUACCCGCAUAACCAAUCUUUCCAGAAUUCUUGCGGAAUUUGCAAACCUAAUUGGUAGAAUGGUAAUUGGGAAAAAGCAGAAAAUUUAGGAUUUGAAAUAUUAAAAAAGAGGCAGGAUGUUUUAGGACCAGGCCACCCUUUUACGCUUUACUCCUUAUUUAAUUUUGCAACAAUAAAUUAAAACCAGGCCAAAUAUAACCCCAUAUUUGUGAAACAGCUAAAAUUAGUAGCCCUGUAGGGUGCAGAUCGAUACAAAUAUAUUAUAGUUGGGCAUUGGAAUGCUGCCCCUAGCUAUUUUUUUAAAAGGGAAGGUUAAUAGGAACUAGCCCGUUACAAAACGCACCCCGAAAGGUUAGUAUCCAUAUACCAAAUCUGGAAGGCUAUAAUGCGAGGUUUUCUUUUGGACAUAUUUAACCUAAAAUAAAAAAUAGAGAAAAACAGAACGAAUUUACAGAAAAAUAUCCUCAAUCGCCUUUCGACCCUCGGGACAAUAGCCCCGCCUAAUGUAGUCGACCAACAUCUUUCCGUUCGUCCAUAAAUGGAUAUAACGGGAGAGCAAGAUAUUUAGAAAUGGUAAUAUAUCGUCGGUGACCUUGAGAAUAUCUUCUGUUUUCACUGCGACAAUAAAAAACGGAAAUGCCUCUAAAUAUUUUUCACCGAUGUCCAUUGCGCAAAUCUUCCAGAUUUUGCGCCCAAGCCUGAUUUGGUCUGCAAAUUUAUCUUUGUUUUUUUUAUUGUUUUCCUUGUUUUGCAACUUUAAAAUCCCAUCGUAUUUAUUUAAACUGAUUCGAAUGCGUCCAUAUUUGGAGUUAUGGAGAACUUUGGCCAAUUCCAAUAGGCUAAUAUAUUAAUAUAGCCGAUGCAUACCAAUCGCCUUUUUAUGGUUUGCCGCUUUUUCGCUAAAUUUUGAGGCCAGUUGUAAAAAGUCCGGUGCAGGGUCCGGUAUAGCGGGGAAUGCGGGCGUGGCCGUUUUUGUAUUGGUAAGAUAUAAUUAAAUAAAAGUACGAAAUCCAAGUUUGGUUUUUUUAUUUCUAAUAUGGGUAGCCAGUUGUUUUAUAUUAACUUUUUUGCGACGUUUGUUAGCGGGUGUGGUAUAACUUUCGGCAAAGUUGCGUUUCGUUAUAUAUUUUGGUAAUAUAUAUAAUUGUUCAGACCGCCGAUUAAAGUAAAUUCCCUUAGGUAAUCCUAUUUGUCGAAAUAAUACGUUUAUAUCUUCCUUUUCCAAUAAGAUAUUCACCUGAUUACGGAUGGGUGUUAUGGCCCUGGCGUUACGUACGCCUUAUCGAUUUUAAAUUUCCAAUAUAUUUCCAAUCGACCCUAUAAUAUUAGUUGCAAAUAAAAUAAUCGUUGGAUAAGAGGGCGUUAACAAACUUUGCUUUGAAGAUUCUCGCAUAUUAUUUAAUAGAUUAUAAAUACCCCAAAAUUUGUUUUGCGCUGGUUGAAAGGCAGGAUUCGGUAUAACCAGCCCAGCAUCGGCUUUACAAACCCUUUUGCGGAAAUUAAAUACCGUAUUAUUUUGGUUUGCAUUUUUCGCGUUUGUUUCGGCUAAAAGGUAAUAAUUGUAAAUAUAAUGGAGGAGGUUAUUCCCUAAUUUUUCGCAAAAGGGGCAUUUCUGGAUCUGAUAUUCGGCCUUUUAAUAUUGUCGAAAAUCGUCUGCAGGAAUUUGCUCGUUACAAAUCUGGCAGAUUUUGGGGCUGUAUUUAAAUUUAUAGUUUCGCAAUGGCUGCCCAGGAGCAAUUAUUAUAUUACAAAAGCGGUAUUUUCCCCACCCGUGGGUCUGGCAAAUAUAAAUUUGCAGGUUUAACUCAGAAUAAUAUAUUUUGCAAUCGGAUAUAGGGCAAAUAUUUGUUUCGUUGUGUUUAAUCGAAAAAUAAAGAGGAAACUCAUCUAGGAAAAGAAUUUCGUCGCAUAACGGGCAAGGCUUUUUUCCGUACGUGGCUAAAUGCUGGAGGUAAUUUUCGUUUAAAAUAUAUAUAUCGCAAAUUUCGCAGCGACGGUGCUGUCGCAUUUUAUAUCCCUCUAAUUUAUUGGGGGGCCAUGCGUCGGCGCAAACAUCGCAUAUUAUAUAGCCAUGGGAAUUUUGGAGAUAUUUUGGCAUUUGAUUUAUUUAAAUACCAGUUCAACAAUUGCGAUAUUCUUUCCAUAUAUGGUUUUCGUCCAGGUGUAAUUGUCGCUGGUUGGAUUAAAUUUCUGUUGCCGUUUAAUAAUAAUCCGAAAUGUUGCAUUUUUCGCAAAACCGGAAAUAAUAUUUUUGGGAUAAAUAAUCCCAAAACGUUCCGGUCCCAAAAACAAAAUAUUCGCAAACCGGGUAUUGGUUUGGGGGGUGCGAUUUGUUAAUAUAAGCCAAAAUAAAAUUGUAAUCGUCGUAACCGCUUAUAAUAUAAACUUCGCCCCUAAAGCAGGCCGAAAACCAAUAUUGCCGUUCUAAAUAACCCAAUAGCGAUUCGUUGCAAAUCUCGGCCCCGCAAAGGCAGGUUACAUAUUAAUAACCCACAGAAAUAUGGAUUAAUAGCUCGUAUAUAUUAUUUUCGGGGCAAAAACUGCAACGUCUUAUUAAAUGUGUCGCGCCCAAAUGUUUUUGCAUCCGGUCCAAAUUAGGGUAAAAUGUUAAACAAAAGGGGCAUUUUGCCUAUCCAUAUAUCCGCUCCAGGUAUUUGGUGUACGCCCUUUUCGUAACAGUUUUGCAGCAAAUUUGGUAUUCGUUAAAGUUAUUAACAGUAAGAUGGUUCAGAUAUUCUUAUCGUAAAAAUUCGGCCUCGCAAUAUGUGCAAUAAUAAUUGUUAUGGGUUUGCCGAUAUCGUCGCAGGUUUUUUUUAUAUAUAAUAACCUAAUAUUUAUUGCAAAAAGCUAAUAACUCGUGGAUUUGUAACUUUAAGGGGGAUAUAAAUAUAAUUUCGUUCGUUCUGUUUUUUCUUUCCACAAAAACUGUCCGGGGGAAAAUGCUGAAUUUCUUUGCAUUUUCCGUAAAUUGCGAUCCCAUUUGCGAUAAAUUAAGCAGUAAGUUUUUGGCGUUGGUUAUUUGUUCGAAAGUGAGCCAUUUUGGCUUAUUGGACAUAUUUUCGCUACGAAAAUUUCCAUAAAUUAUCGAAAAUACCGCUCGGAAGGCGCUUUGGAUAUAAUCUUUUAAAUAAAUUCCAUAUUCCAAACCAAAAGUGUCGAAAGGGUUAAUAUACUGCUCCAUGGUGGCAUAUGCACGAAAUGGAAAAAACGAAUGGUCCACCUACGGCAGCUACGGGUAGGGAUAGACAAAAUAGACAGUUAGCGUAAAAUAAGAAGAUGCUAUACCUGUUAUAAUCCGUGUUUAGGAAUUGUGGAAAAGAGGGGCCCGUUUUUUGCUGGGAUAAUGUAAGUCGACAAAAUUACCUACCAUUUAAAGUGGAGGCGUUAGUCGAAGCAGCGAAUCCAAUAAAUACCUAUUCACCCUAAUUGCCUAAUUUGUUAUCGAACAAUUAUAAAGCGAACCAAUAAAUUAUAAAGACAAAAAACCCCACCAUAUUACUAAUCGCCAAUCCUCGCAAUAAAGGAUUUAAAAAUGGCCUGGUCCGUAUCUACCCUCCCCCAUUCUCCUAAUUUUCACCGCUUUUUAAUUUGCUGUACGGAACAACGCAUCCGGCCCGGACGACUAACGUAAUAUUCCGAAAAACCCACAGGCAACCAGCUAUAAAUAAACGGGAGUAAAGUUUUCGAACCCCUUGCUUCUUAAUAUUGGUUUUUUAUAGCUCGAGCUGCAAAAAUUCCUACCUGUUAAUGUCUAACUUAGUUUUUACCUAAAAAAGACACCGCCAAUAUAAUAAUGGGAUCGGUGCGUUUUAAUAUACGUCCUUCUAUGGGAGGUGAAGGCCAAUAGGAAUAAACCCGUUACAAAAAAUACCCCUUAGAAAAGUCAGGAUUAAUUUCACCCCAAAAUGCGGGUAAAAAACAAAAUUGGAAUUUGAACCUGCUAUAUGCACCUGUUAUUACCGCUGGCAUUAUUGGGUCGGCAGCAAACGGGCCAAAAUAUAUAUUUCCUCGUUAAGGCGCUGCAACUUUAUUGAAAAAACGGUAUAUAAAAGUGAAGGUUUUUCUCGCAGAAUUUAAUUACUCGCCGUGCUGUUGGACUUCUAGCAGGCAAAUUAACAGAUUAAAAAUUUGAAUGCGCUAAAAUAGACCCUGUUUGGAACUUAGUGGGAACCAAAUUCGUCCAAUAACUCCUGGACGCCCAUCGUUAUUUUCGUCCCAUAUUUUUAUUUUAUUUACUUUUUAUUGGACGCCGGCUAUUUUGGGAUGCAAAGUUAAAAAGUCCAUAUUAAAUUACCUAAGCACUUUCGGCAACAGUCCAAACGGCUUUUUGGAAAGGCAGGGCUAAUAGUCCAUAGCGGUUAGAAAAACACCGGACAUGGAAGCAAUUAUUAUGGUCGAAUUGGUUAGACCCAUCGGAAUUAUAUUCCGUAGGCGGAGGGUGGUCCUGUAAUUAUAGGUCACACUCUAUGUUUUCGUACGGUGCGGGUGUGGAGUUUUAUAAAUGGGGCGUACAAAAAGAUCCCUGCACUGGGCAAAAAUGGUAUAAAAUUAUUUUAAUACGCGCCGUCGUUCAUGCGCACUUAAAUACGUUUAGGAUUGCAAUUCCACUCCAAUAUUCCAGAACCGUAAUGCCGUGGUAAAUUGCCAGCCUAUAGUCUUUACUUUAAUUUACGCCAUUUUUAACGCACCUAGGAAAUAUUAUAUUUAUAACGAUGGUGGUCCAAUGUACUGUUUUGGCUAAAACGUACCAACGAGGUCAACUAAUAUAAUAUUAUAUGGUAUUUGCUGCUCCAACGCGUAAAAUAUAUUAAAUUGGGCAGCCAGGAAAUUAUUAUUGUUUGGCGCCAGGUAGUAGAGGACCGUGCGCAAGAUUAAGAAUUUAAUCAGCCAAUCGUAUGCGAUUAAAUUAGUGGUCCGGCCGUUAUUUGAAGCCCUGAAUCGCCAAUCGCCUACACAGGCUAAAUACCGUCCAAACCGCCUAUAAAUCCCAUUUGAUGCAAAGACCGCCGCAGGAAAUUUUCCAUUAAAUAUUACGACCGCAUAAUUGGUCCCUGCAGAUAUAUAUAUAAAUAUAAAAGGCCGAAGUUUUAUAGCCGCCAAAAAUUGCUAAUAAAUAUGGGUUUAAAUAUAAUCCAAUUACCCGGCCCAAGGCCCUGGUUAAUUAUACAUUUGAGUACGUCCGUGCAUCGAUCGAUUUGUUAAUUUGGGUAUUUCGGACAGGUUGCCCCUCGCAAUAUGCGUACGUAAUACGGCUCCAUUCAAAUAACGCCGCAAUUUAAAAUAUUCGGGUUGCGACAAUUAUAUCCUAAUUAACCCGCAUUAUAACCUAUGCCCCUACGCGUUAUAGAU